rnacentral:rRNA from 1 species
AUUGAACGCUGGCGGCAGGCCUAACACAUGCAAGUCGAACGAGUGGCGGACGGGUGAGUAAUGUCUGGGAAACUGCCUGAUGGAGGGGGAUAACUACUGGAAACGGUAGCUAAUACCGCAUACCAUCAGAUGUGCCCAGAUGGGAUUGGUUGGUUGGUGGGGUAACGGCUCACCAAGGCGACGAUCCCCAGCUGGUCUGAGAGGAUGACCGGCCAACCUGGACCGGAGAAACGGUCAAGACUCCUACGGGAGGCAGCAGUGGGGAAGAUUGAACAAUGGGCGCAAGCCGGAUGGAGCCAUGCCGCGUGUAUGAAGAAGGCCUUCGGGUUGUAAAGUACUUUCAGCGGGGAGGCGUUACCCGCAGAGGAAGCACCGGCUAACUCCGUGCCAGCAGCCGCGGUAAUAC